CUUUAGACUGCGUGGUCGGGGAAGGCAGGCUGUGCGGAGCAGAGAGCCGAAUCACACAGCGUCACAUCGGGUCUGCGGGCUGCUCUAUCUGUUCCACGUGAUAGUACUCGAAGGUGGGGCCUUUGGGAGAGGAUGCCGUCAUAAACGAUUAGCUCCUCCAUGAAGGGAUUAAUGAAUGCCCUUAUGACAGAGAGCCCAUGAAGAGCCUCUAUCAUGUGAGUUCACAUGGAGGAGAUGGAACUUAUGAACAUGGAAGUCAGGUUUCAUCAAACUCUGAAUCUGAAUUUCAUCAAAAGCUGAAAUCUGGGCGAAAUCUCUCCCAAACAGUGAGGAAUGAAUGUCUGUUGUGAUUAGCCAUCCAGUCUGUGGUAUUUUUGUUGUAGCAGCCUGAAUGGGCUAAGACAGGGACCAAAGUUCAAGGCAGAGGAGAACACUGGUGUGAAGGCACUGUGCUCCAGAAGGGAACGUGCUCCAGGAAGGAGGGAAAGCGGAUGUGAGUGAGAAACGGCGCCAGGAGAGGCAAUAGUGAUGAAGAUUUUUCAGUGUAGUAGGAGAAACCGGCAGCUUCUAAGCAAGGCAAUAACGAGAUUUCCUUUUCCAGAUAAUCAGUCUACUUAACAAUACUUAAUAGUACUACUUAAUAGUACUUAAGGUCUACGUAAUAGUAACUAAGCCCUGUGAAGAGUAGAAGCAGGGAGGCAUAUGAAGGUGGCCCCUGUGUCAACCAGGCCGGAGGAAUACCCUGGAUAAGGGCAGUCAGUGGUGGAGAAGCUGGGAAAGAGCUAGAGGGGGGAAAUGAGCGCACCACUGGCCAAGAUGCCAGAGCUGUGGGGAGACGCUGGAUUUGCCAUGGAGGUGGAAUUGCCAGAGGUUGAUGCUGAGCAAAACAUACAGCACACAGAACACAGCAAGCUCAAAGGCUGGAAGGCAGAGGCUGCAAGAACAUAAUCCACAUGAACAAAAUAUUGGGCAAGAUCAUUGGAUUAAUUCAAGUCAUACAAGGACUGAUUUUAUCUUGUUCUUCAGAUCCAGGGUGACCUCACUUCAUCAUUGGGAGACGGAGCUAUAACAAAUGCGCUGAUCAAGAGAAUGAGAUGAUAAGUCACAGACUGGAUAAAAAUAUUUGCAAAAGACAUACUGUUAAAGGACUGCCAUCCAAAAUAAAUAAAGAACUCCUAAAACCCAACAAUAAGAAAUCAAACAACCCAAUUAAAAAAUGAGUCUAUGGCUUUAACAGACAUGUCAUUAAUGAGAUACACAGAUAGCAAAAAAGCAUAAGAAAAGAUGGUCCACAACAUACAUCAUACAGUGCAGAGUGUGCUCAUGCACUCAGGUCUGACUCUUUAUGACCCCAUGGGCUGUAGCCUGUCAGGCUCCUCUGUUCAGGGAAUUCUCCAGGCAAGAAUACUGGAGUGAGUUGCCACUUUCUACACUAGGAGAUCUUUUCAACCCAGGGAUUGAACCUGUGUCUCUGGAGUCUCCUGCAUUGGCAAGUGUAUUUUUUAUUUUUAUUUUUUUAUACCACUAUGGCAC
ensembl:lncRNA